rnacentral:lncRNA from 1 species
UCCUGUUCUUCCAGUUUGCAGUAUCUGAAGCUUCCCAGCAUCCCCCGGGACGGGCCUGGAUCUAUCAGGAUCUUCUCCUCACCCUGCUGAGGCCUAAGGGAUAUGUCCCAGCAAGGUUUAUUCCAAAUGGCCAACGGCCUCUUGCUGGCCAAAGUGAUGCUUUCUGCCAUGCUUCUUUCUCCUCACGCUUUUGUAAAAGAUCACAAAGGCAUCCAACCCCACCAUCCACCAACUCCGGCAGUUGCCCUCUGACACGUCACUGGGAGACUGGCUUUUAUUAAAGAGCAGUUGCUGGGAAGCCACUGCGAGACAACAUAAGAG